rnacentral:rRNA from 1 species
UACGUAGGGACCGAGCGUUGUCCGGAAUCAUUGGGCGUAAAGAGCGUGUAGGCGGCUAUUUAAGUCCUGCGUGAAAUCCUGCGGCUCAACCGCAGACGGUCGUGGGAAACUGGAUGGCUAGAGUGCGGGAGAGGAGAGUGGAAUUCCCGGUGUAGCGGUGAAAUGCGCAGAUAUCGGGAAGAACACCCGUGGCGAAGGCGGCUCUCUGGAACGCAACUGACGCUGAGACGCGAAAAGCGUGGGGAGCAAACAGG